rnacentral:snRNA from 1 species
AGAUGUGGCUGAGGGAUCUGGCUGUGACAUCUGUCACCCCAUUGAUUGCCAGGGCUGAUAUGGCUGAUCUGGAUGGCUGGGCGGGUAUUUCCUUCCUCUUUCACGGGUCCAUGUUUAUCCCUCCCAAAGCUACAUGUUCAGCCAAAGACAGCAACCUUCCCUGGUAGAGGAGGACCAUUAUUUGGUCAGGGAUAUGUUAGUAGCUCUAUUCUCCUGCUAGAACUUCCAAACAAAUUCUCAAGAUGUGACUGAGGGAGCCCAGGGCCUGGUCCUGUCUGUCAGCCAACAUGGCCCU